AACAAUGGAUCUCUUGGUUCCGGCAUCGAUGAAGAACGCAGCGAAAUGCGAUAACUAAUGUGAAUUGCAGAAUUCAGUGAAUCAUCGAGUCUUUGAACGCACAUUGCGCCCCCUGGUAUUCCGGGGGGCAUGCCUGUCCGAGCGUCAUUGCUGCCCUC
rnacentral:rRNA from 3 species